CUUCCGGGCCUCAGGAAAAAGGCAGAAAUGGAGGAGAGAGAAAAAAGGAACAUCCUUCCCGCCUGCUAGUGGAGUAGAUCCCAGGGGUUGGUUGUUAUCUUUGGUUAUCUAGCUGUAUGAGUGGGGUCAAGUCUUCAUAAAGCUAGAUAACCGAAAGUAAAAAUAACCCCAUUACACGCCUGGGGAGGAGGAAGACAAGGAGGAGGAAGGCCACCGAAAGCAAGCAAGCAAGGAAAUGCCACCAUUUUAACAAAAGAAGUUUUUGAACAGAAUGGCUGGCAAGGAUGGAUUGAAAAACCAGUCCUUGAGGAUGAAAGAAAUCAACCGAAUGGAAGAGAUGGAGGAAAGAGAGAAGACAAAGACGAUUCACAGCAAUCGAGAAAUUAGAGCCACAUUGAAUGACCACAGGAGCGAAGUUCACAGCCUCUGCUUCAUGGGCUUUCUGUUUUUGCUGCUGUGGGCCACGUCCUUCUCUGGCGUGGCAAAGCAAGGCAGGUGAGAGGAGGAAGAAGAAGAGGAAGAAGAAGAAGGACAGGAAGAAGGCGGUGGUCUCACUCUCUGCCAUCCGAACGACCGGGCUGUGCCAAUGCAGGAGUGCCAGGAGAAGAAAGUCAUUUCCCCUGCAAAUCAAGCGACAACGGUGGGAAAGGACAUGUUCCUGCCAGGAUCUAACCAUCUCCAGCGCCUGGGGCAUCUGACUCCUCUGGGGGCGCAGAACCUACAAGACUGCAUUAAAGCGCCAGAUGUGAGAUGAGGAAAGCUGGAGGGGCACCCCUUCUAUCCCAGGCUAUUUUGGAAAGUUUCCUGUAUGGCGGAUCAAGCGGAGAGAUGUCACUGCUGUCCUUUCAGGCUGGAGACUGGGAUUUGAACCCUGGUCUCCUGAGCUCUCAGCCACCGGUCAGUCAACUCUGCCACCUUCUCUCCACUGUGACCCCCCCCCCAGGGGCCAAGUCGGGUUACAAAAAACUGCAAAGCUGGAAGGCCUUCCCAGGGAUCAUCCUUGCAGAGGGAGGCCAUCCACAGCCAUCCCUAGUGGAGGGCCCCCCAACCUGCGUGUGGGGAGGCCCCCCACGGAGCAACCUCUCCACCUGGACACUCAUUGGGGUCAGGUCCAUGUCGUCGGGAGGCAGGCGUGCAAUCCCAAGAUGCCAACAGCUCCCUUUUAUUCCUGGGGGGGGGGGGAAGGAACAGGAUGUCAGUGUGUGGACAUCCUGCCUCCAUCAGCCUCCACACUUUGGGACCCACGGAGGCCCCUUGUCCUUCCCCCACCACCUCCAAUUGUGCCUUUACCUGCUAUCGUAUUAUUAGCUGAUGGGCGUCUCCAUUAUACACCUGUGUCCCAUUUUAAAAAAAAUACAUAAAAAUAAAAAAUCAACAUGACUCCUUGGGGCGGCUUCA
rnacentral:lncRNA from 1 species